GGAAAACAUUUUUGGAAAACUAUGAUUUGAACGCGUUUUUCUGUUUUUCAUGUUUUCUUGAAAAACAAAAAUGAAGAUGAAGGCAUGUCAUGGGAUUAGACAAUUUUCUAUAAAACAGUUAUCCAUUGGUAGAUUUUUGUGAAAUGGGAAGUAGGUUCCUUGAUUCUGCUUACUCAAACCACAUACGAAGUCUGGUUUACACAAGGAAUAUUCUCAAAUUGUCAAACUGGGCAAUGGCAAGAAGCUGGUAGUCAAGCUGGACUUUCCAUGUACUGAAUAGGUGCAUAAGUAGAAGUACUGAUGAAAAAGUCCCUGAAGAAUGCUGGUCGGGCGUCAAACCAAAGGAAUUACAAUGUAUAUUCAGCAAACGCCCAUUAAAUGAGCCCAACCGUUCAGACAGUCCUGCUACAUACACUAGAAAAUGAAGUGCCACAUGACCCGGUUAUUGAAGCCACUAAGUCACGGGCUGUUCGGGGAAGCAAGACACUGUAUGCAAGUCAUUGACUCAUUGUGUGUGGUUAAAAUGGCAGCUGAAUAAUCUAGAAGAUGGGCUUAGGUUAGUUGGCCCAAGUUGUUUUGGUUGUCCAAGCAUGGUAGGUUAUAAACCGGCGGCUUAGUCUUUCUUUAUGAGAGUCGUGGACUCGUGGUAGGAUAGAUCAAGUCAUGUUUCCUUUCUUUUUGAGGUCAUCAGAGAUGUUGGUAAAGUUUGUGGUGAUAACAGUUGGUUGUUCACGCUAUAUAAUGCCUUCUUUGGUAUUCAAUUAAUUCUGGUUCAAAUUGA